UACAGAGGGUGCGAGCGUUGUCCGGAAUCACUGGGCGUAAAGGGCGCGUAGGUGGCCUCAUAAGUCCGCUGUGAAAGUCAAAGGCUCAACCUUUGAAAGCCGGUGGAUACUGUGAGGCUAGAGUACGGAAGAGGCGAGUGGAAUUCCUGGUGUAGCGGUGAAAUGCGCAGAUAUCAGGAGGAACACCGGUGGCGAAGGCGGGACUCUGGGCCGAUACUGACGCUGAGGAGCGAAAGCGUGGGGAGCAAACAGG
rnacentral:rRNA from 1 species